CACACCGCCCGUCACACCAUGGGAGUUGGUUUCACCCGAAGGCAGUGCGCUAACCGCAAGGAGGCAGCUGACCACGGUGGGAUCAGCGACCGGGGUG
rnacentral:rRNA from 1 species